rnacentral:rRNA from 1 species
GACGAACCGUCCAAACGUUAUUCGGAAUCACUGGGCUUACAGAGUUCGUAGGCGGUCUGGCAAGUUGGGUGUGAAAUCCCUCGGCCUAACCGAGGAACUGCGCUUGAAACUACCAGACUCGAGGGAGAUAGAGGAAAGCGGAACUGAUGGUGGAGCGGUGAAAUGCGUUGAUAUCAUCAGGAACCCCGGUGGCGAAGGCGGCUUUCUGGGUCUUACCUGACGCUGAGGAACGAAAGCCAGGGGAGCGAACGGG